rnacentral:lncRNA from 1 species
AGACCCGUUCUGGAGUUCUAGAUUUCUGCUUGUGGUGUGUCAAUCAUUCAAUCAGACCUAACAGCAACUCCAGAUUGCGGCUGUCAGAAGCCGUGGCCUCGCACGCCUUUCCUGGGCAACACCAUCAGUCCACCAGGGCAGGCUGGACACAUGGAGCCUGCGACUCUCCCCUGCCCAGUCCAGCCCCUGCUCCACUGCUGAGGAGCAGAACUCACCACAUAGGAAUGAAAAGGAGGAGGUGAAAAGGGAGCCUUGAGGGAGAGAAGACAUGAUAUUGACCAUAACAGGUCCUGCUGAGGAUCCCUGGUGCCCAGUAGGGAACACCGUGAGGAGGAGGAUUAAGAAAGGCACCCUUUCCACUGAUUUGCAUCGCCAUUUGUACAUGGAGUUUGGCUACAGCAAAAUCCGUUGCUAUCUCACCAGCUACAAGAAGCAAAGAACGAAUUGCAAUUCAUUUUUGUGCUCUAGGACCCGGUUGAGGAGUUUUCCAGCUGGAUUUGAUGUCACUUUCCCAUGCUGUCACUAAUCCCCAGCCACAACAGAAUGGGUCACACUCUUCUGCACUUUGGACCCUUUGCCCAUGCCAGAGUUAUCCGCUGACCCUCUUCCCAUGGCUGUCACCUCUUCAAAAAGGUCCACUGAACCUGAAGUAGAUGUCCUCCCUCUAUUAAGAUUCAACGUAUCAAAUCCACCCUUUCAAAGUCUUAGACUAGCACCUGGCAUACAUCUCCUUGCUGACAAAAAAGGAAAUGACUUCUGAAGACAUGAAAAAAAAAAAACAGGGUGAAGACAAAUUGGGUUAGAAUAACCCAUGACCUAGAUCAUUAGACUUUGACUAAUGAAGAACUGCCUUUUAACAGAGUUAAAAUUGACAGCACCAUGGCCUCACACCCAACAGGGUUUGAGGCUGGACCCUUCUUUGACAAACGAUGCCCUGAUUUACGCGCAAAAAUACCCAUCACAGCAUUAUUUAUAAUAUUCCCUGUCCAAUGCUGGGGACCUAGUUCAAUUAGCUAUAGAACAGCCAUUUGAUGAAAUAUUAUAAAGCUAUUAAAAUAAUAGGGGCAAAGAAAUUUUAAAACAUGGGGAAAGCCUUGAUGUUGUAAUAUUAAAUGAAUGAAGGAAUUCUAUGAAUGAAACUCAUUAAAACAUGUCUUCACAGUAGCUGCAUUGAUUGCACAUUUACUAUCGUUCAGGCAUCUUUUCCAAAUGUGAUACAGGAGGGCAAGCUUGGAAACAAGACGGGAACCUCUUGAUCCAUGGCACAAUGCUGUCGACCCCUAAGUUCUUCCUCUUUAUCUAAACCCAGGUUUGGAAGUACACCAAAAUAUUAAUACUAUACAUCAUUGCAAGCUUUCCUUCUUUGAUCCUCUGUAUUUUGUAAAUGUUCCAACACCUUUUAAAAUACACUUUUGUUCUCCUUUAAAGUCUCCCUGAGAGCUUCUAGAAGGCAGCUGCUGUGGGCUCACAUCAUCCAUCCUUCCCCCCGCAAAUGUGUAAAUAAAGAAACACCUCUGUGCCUUUAAAUUAUAACAGGCUAAACUUUCCCCUGUAAGUUGAUACUCAGACCAGAAGUCUGUGGGUAGGAAGAGUGUUGUGUUUUUUUGUUGCAGCUUCUUUUGGCUGAUAAACUAGCACUUAAGUGUUUCCCUUUUCCAAACCCCCAAAUGACAAGUAUCUUUGUGGUAAAGUGAUGGCCCAACUGUCAUGGCCAUCAUAAACGGUGCUGAGGACACUUAUUUUUAGUUUACUGUCUAAGGAAGCACUAGGCUUGCUAACCAGAGACCUUGGGGCCCAAACCCCU